rnacentral:rRNA from 1 species
UAGGGAAUUUUCGUCAAUGGGGGCAACCCUGAACGAGCAAUGCCGCGUGAGCGAAGAAGGUCUUCGGAUUGUAAAGCUCUGUUGCCGGGGAAAAAGGAAUGAAAGAGGAAAUGCUUUUCUUUGGAUGGUACCCGGCCAGAAAGUCACGGCUAACUACGUGCC